UUGUGAAGUGGUGGAUUUUGUGAAUCUGCGAUUAUUUUUCGUCAUAAGUCUCGCCCGCCUUCCUUCCUUCCGCCCGUUCGCCUAUCCACCAAGAUGCUGAAAAGUUUUCAGUUCCGGACCUAAUCUCGGUUUUUAGUGUCCCCAGUCUCGUUAAUGAUGUUGCCGAGGUGGGUUCCAGCAUCUUCUCUCUCUUUUUUAAAACUACUACACAUGACAAAAGUGUGUUCUGGUGUGUCAACAGAACCACAGAACGGAUAGUCCGGAGAUUUCCUCAGGUCAAAUCACACUCUAUUAUUGUAGAUCCGAUCUCUUCUAAAAAUUCCAGCCGAUCUCCUCCAAAUAUCCAUCACCGUUGCUUCCGUCAGAAGAGAGGCUGCCGAGGAAGUUACUUGAUCGGUGUCUUCCUGAAGGGAAACGAAGGGCACGCCCAAUGAAAGGGUGGCGACAGGGCGUCUUAGAGAUAAUGGGGGAGUUCCAACCCUCUACAAUGCUUUGGGAGGAUAAGGGACUCUAGCGGCUGGGUGUCGCAGAGCGCCAAAGAGUGCGAUGAAAGUGACUUUUAUGUAUGUAUGAAAUCUGAUUGAAUAUACAGCGGCCUAGCCGCGGAGGGGGGGGGGGGGGGCGUUCCUUUUUAAAAUUUCCAUAGUCGCUCUUGAAACGUCUCAUUUCCUAAAGAAGGCCCCACCCACGAUCAGUGCCCACCAGCUAAAAGAACCACUACACACCGACACCACACAGGGGUACUAGUUCAGCGGGAGGUUUAUUUUGUCAUUAAAUGAGCUUUAAGGGGCCUUCAACAUGGCCUCAUAAAAAAAGAAGAUUUCUUCCAAGCCUGCAGUAAAAUUCAAAAGUACAUCUUUAAAAAUUGAUGGAUUAACUUUCGAACUGAAGAAAUAUAAUGAAUAUCACCAAUGAGAUUGGUUCGAUCACACUAGAUAAAAUGUGAAAAGUAAAUAUGUACACUGUACCUACGGCUCAUAUGACUAAACUGUUAUAUUAAACUAUAAAAACUGUGAUAUGACCUUAAUAUUUGGACAAUUCCCAUUAUAUUUCCUGUUGUACUUGCUUUGUACUUUUUGUAGUGGUAAAACAUUCAAUUCCUUGCAAGGAUCCAUCUCCAACGUUAAACUCUUGAAUUAUUCUUAGAGUUUGGAAAAACUGGCCUUUUCAUGAAGGGUUGAGGGAAUCCGAAAAAAUCUCUUCAGUAGAUCUCUCUUUCAAAGAUCUUUUUCCGUUGUAUUUAAAAUUUAAAUACUGUAAGACCUUUUCGAGGAAAAGAGCAGUUUAGGGAGGGACUGUAAAUACAGCUCUUAGGUCUUUUCGGAAUUGAACGAGUUCAUUGCAGCGGAGCCGGACUUGGCCGUCGAAGUCGGGGACUCGGGUGAAGAUAUAAGCUCAACUUCCUGCAAGCGCCGAGCUCAAAAACCAGCGGCAGGGAAUGAAUGAUUGCAGUGAUUUUAGCCGCACACAUCUGCACCGAGUCCGGAGUUGACAGCGCGCGCGAAAAACCAUCAUUUUCCGCCGAGGUCGUCUGGGAAAUCAAGGCGGUGCGAGAGCAAUCCGGCGGCAGAAACAGACUCGCGAAUCUCACAAUAAGCUCGCUGGAUAGAUAAAUAAAUUAAGUACUUCGUCUUCAACUCGAGAUGUGUGAUUUAUCGUCCUGGCUGCCCUAACUUUGUAUCUUCACACCGACUUCCCAACCUCUCGGGCAUCGUUGCCGAUGGAGCUUGUGCAAUUGUGCAUCCAAGCAUUAAAGUAGGAAACCUUGAGGAAAAUGAAUGACGAUGGUUCGGGAACAUACCGCCUAUCUGCAAACUAAACAAUUUUGCGGGACAAGUAAGGAACUUCGCCAUUUUUUUAAUUUUGUGGUUGACUUUGCAAUUUUUUUACACAUUACAGCGCUCCCAUGCGUAAUUAAAAACAAACUAAAAACAUCAGCUUGAUACUUUAAUACUGUGAAAUGCAGCAAAGUCGCCGACCCAUUUUCGCCAAAAUUGUCAGUUGGGCGGUAUUUUUUCUUGGCUUUCGAUACCCGAAUAGGAAGCUUUGCCUUCUUGCCGGUACGCGACUAUAAGCCACAGAGGGCGCUUCGCGCCAUCUAAUACCCGCUUCGCGGUCCCUCGUGACCUGCUCUAAACAGAACGGGAUUAUGUGGGGACAAUUUCCUAUAAAUAACCGCAAAAAAUCAUGAGAAUCAACCGGGUAGAUUUUUCGAACGGACUGAGACAAAAAAUGAACAUUUACGUGUUUUAAAUGGGAGCAUUUGCAACUUUAUUACGUGACAUAAAAAAUCCUGGGUCAUAUUUUCAAAGUCUGAGUAAAGUAGCCUCAUUCAGGGAAUGAGACUCUACCUAUCAGUAGCCGCAAAAAUCGUGGAAAUUGGCCCAUAGGGUGUAGCGAAAAAAACUUUUUUUCGCGUAUGACAUUCGCUACCCCUGGAAAGUAUGUGGUUGGUGCAUAAAAGAGCCCACAAAAAAUUCCAGCCGCCUACGAUGAUCGUAACCACUGCCACUUUUCGGUCAAAAUUUCGGAUUUUCGACGAAAAAUCGCUAAAAACGCAACCCGC
rnacentral:lncRNA from 1 species